rnacentral:rRNA from 1 species
AUGAACACUAGCAGUAAUUUCAAGCCUUAUUUAGGCAUGCAGUUCAAAACAAAGGAAGAAGCUCAGGAAUAUUUCAAUUUCUACUCGAAAGUGGCAGGAUUUUCAGUUGCUACAGUAGCAAUCUCAAGAACAGCAAGCAAGAAAAGAAACAAUGAGGUGACAAGGAUCACUAUGAAGUGCAACAAGUGGGGCAAGACAAAAGAAAUAGAGAAGGAAUGCAUAGUACCCAUGAGAAGAUCUACAGUCAUUGCUAAAACAGAUUGUAAAGUUGUGAUGGUCAUAUCUGAGAAAGGAGGCAUAUGGGAAAUCACAAGACAACACCUAGAACACAACCAUGAGUUAACACCAAACAGUAGAUUCUUCAGGUCACAUAAGUACAUGUCGGAUGAAGAGAAGUGCUUGAUAAGAGUUUUGAAGCAUACAAACCUGGAAACAAGAAGGAUUGUUGCUGUCCUGGCUUACAUAAGAGGAGGAAUGGCUCAUCUACCAUACACAAAGAAACAUGUCACUAACUAUGCAGCAACAAUAAACAGAGACAUCACAAACUCUGACAUGAUGGAAGUAGUGCAAAUGUUCAACAAGAAGCAAACAGAAAAUCCUGGCUUUUGCUACUCGUUUGAGCUUGAUGGAGAGAAUAAAGUGAGAAGCUUAUUCUGGACAGAUGUGAGGUCAAGAAUGAUGUAUGACAUAUGUGGAGAUUGCAUAAGUUUUGACACUACAUUCCUAACAAACAAGUACAACUUACCGUUUGCACCGUUUGUGGGAGUAUCCCCACACGGCAACACAUACUUGUUUGCUUGUGCAUUCAUUAUCAAUGAGACAAAAGACACGUUUGCUUGGUUGUUUGAACAAUUCCUGAUGGCUAUGGGAGGCAAGCAUCCUAUAUCGAUAAUUACAGAUCAGGACAAGGCAAUGCAAGGAGCUAUUGAACAAGUAUUUCCUAAUGCUACCCAUAGGAGCUGCCUGUUUCACAUAAAGAAAAAGGCAGAGGAGAAAGUUGGGCCUUGUUUCCAAGCUAAUGAAGGCCUCUAUGAAGAUUUCCAGGACAUUGUGGACAACUCCUUGACUGUAGAAGAAUUUGAAACAGACUGGCAAGAAAUGAUAGAGAAAUACCAAGUUCACCACAUAAAGUACUUCGGCGACAUGUGGGAAAACAGGAAAAAGUUCAUACCAGUGUAUUUCAAGGACAAGUUCUUCCCAUUCAUUCAAACUACAGCUAGAAGUGAAGGAACUAAUGCCCUUUUCAAGAAAGGGGUUGAGGCUAAAUUUAGUGCUACUAGCUUUUUAAGAGAGUAUGACCGGAUACUUGAUGUUGUGCAUGACAGGGAAGAAGAAUGUGACCAUGUUUCCAGAAACAAGAAGGUUGCAAGGAAAUCCUUCUGGUCAAAAUACAGCAUAGAAAGGCAAGCACAUGAGAUGUACAACCUUGGAAUAUUCAGAAAAUUCCAGUUUAAGAUGGCAGAUACAACAAGGUUGCAUGUCUUUGAACAAGAAAAGGACAAAUACUACAUUGUUGCCCAGGCUGAAAACUACCCUCUAAAGGAACUCCGGAAAAGGUUAUACCUAGUGCAAGUUGGAUUGAAAGAAGAAGAAUACUCUUGCAUUUGUUGCACAUUCCAGAAAGAUGGACUGUUGUGCUCACACAUACUUCGAGUAAUGAUACAUCUCAACAUUGAGAAGAUACCAAAAAAAUACAUCAUUGAUAGAUGGAGGAAAAAUGACUACAAGCUAGAUGUUACAAAGACACCAGCUGUUGCAGCUGAGAACUCCACACUAAGGUACAAUGUGUUGGCAAGGAAAUUGGUGCAUGUGGCAUCAAUAGCUUCAAAGAAGAAGAGGAAGUAUGAAUAUCUGCUGGGAGAAUUAGACAGGAUACAAAAAAGGCUCCGGGAAAUGGAUGAUGAAGAAGAAACAACAGAUGGGGGACAGAGUGUAGCAACAAGAACAGUUACAUUCGUACCAACAGCAGGAGAAGGAGAAACAACAACACCAUCAUUCACAAUACAAGAACCAGAUAUAGCGAAAACAAAAGGUAGACCAAGGAUGCUAACUAUUCGCGAAGCAAUAAAGCAGAACAAGUUCUACAAAUGCUCACAUUGCGGGUCUGAAAGUCACACGCUGAAGAAUUGCACAAACCUCGACAAUACAACAAGCCAAAAAGGAAACAAGCAAAGCAGUCGAACCCAAGGAAUGUCAAGAAAGGUGCAGAGAACAAAGGAGGCAACCAGAGGAGCAACAACAAGAGGAAGGGCAAUAUGA